rnacentral:lncRNA from 7 species
GCUAAUCUUUCCAACUGUAGCAUUUUCUUACUUUUUCAUAUCAAGUGAUCAGACCAGGGCUGCUGAAUUAUUUAGAUGUGGAAUGGGUCUUCUGAUAGCAAGAAUUAUGGGAAAGACUUGAGAUUUACAAGGUUCAGACCUCGAAGCAGCAGAAAAAAUAAACAAGAGGAGACAGAGUGGGAAGGCUUCACACUGUGGCUCUGGGGCGAGCAGAUCAUGGGCUCUUGUGGCAGCGUGUGGCUGGGGAGGUAAGGGGAAGCCAGGUGCUAUUGAAUGGUGUUGGACACUUCAAAGUGGUGAGAAAGUCACAGAGACCUCCAAAACCUCUCUUGGGCCAUGUCAACAUAUCAAUCUUAAUUUGGUUGUUGUUUCCUUGUAUGUGCCAACUAUUCUAAUUCAGCACUGAGUUAAAGAAAAACUGAUUCUGUGUUGUCAAAGUUUCUGCAUUCUAAACAUGGAGUUUUAUCUUAUAACAAACACCUGGGUGCUUUUAGCCACUCCUGAACCUUCUUACCAAGACUGUGAUGUUUUCCUCAUGAUGUCACUGGUCCUCCCACAAGCGAUGGCCACGGGAGUCCUCCCCCUGAGCACAGCAGCACAGGGCCCCUUCCAGCUGCAGUCAGGCCAGGCUGGAGCUGGCAUCCAUGCACACCUUGGCUGUACGUUCUCUGUGUGGAAGAACAGGUGGUCUCAUCAGUGUGGCAUGCUCAGAUUAUGCUGCUUAACUCUGAAUACCAUAUUUUGGUGUUUCCAGGCCUGCACGCUCACUGUGAAAGUCUUCUUGCAGUAAAUAUGUUGUAUAGGUACCCUGCAGUGCUCUUUCACAGACUGCUGAUGGGUUGUUGGUUGUACCCGUGUCUGUCUGGUCACUGCUAGUGACAAGCAUUGAGAAAAUGCCUAUUCUAAAUAUCCAAAUGCAUGUAUGAUUUUCAGAAAAUAGGCUUGUUAAUUUCUUGGGAGAGAUGUAAUAUUCACACCAUCGAACUUGAUAGCUCAAGCACUCAGGAGCUCAUGUUGGAAGUGAGACUUACAGCCUUACAGCCUCUCUUAGUGCAGCAUUGCAUACUUCUUCUCUCCAUCUAGGUACCAGAAAGUUGAUUGCAUUUCAUUUCCUUUAUAACUUCUUUGUGACAGACUUUGAAUAAGCCAGGAAAGUCAAUGACAGCUGAAUUGAGAAUUCGAAAGUCCAUUUAAAAGGGAUUAUAGUAAAUGAAACUGUCCUGGUUUUCCUUUUACAAGUCUUUGUGGUAGUUGUACUUUCUCAUUUUCUAUUACCAAUGUGUUCUAUAGGGCGAAGCAGAGCUUUCUUGUAUUUAAUUCUGAGUAGCAUCCUUGAUGCCUUGCAAAUCUGGUAAGAAAGGAGUAGGGGAGCGUGGAGUGCCAAUAUGAUAAUUGUGCUGAUAACAUGAAACUCUUUUUCAUAGUGAAAAUUUUUGAGUAGUGGGAAUUAUAUUUAGGCAAUAGGACUGUAUAACAAUAUAGUAUGAUAUUUUAGUUUAAUAUGUUGCAGUUGAAGUCCCACCAUAAGUAAUGGAUUUUUUCUAAAUCAGAAGAUAACUGAGUUUCUUCAUGUUUGAGGAAGAUAUGUCCUAGCUUUUAUCUCUGUGCUCGAUGCAAGCAUGAUCUAACAUUUGGAUGUACUAGAUCUCACAUCAGACCUUUGUAUUUUAAGGAAGACUAUCUAAACCAAUUAAUAUUUUAUAUGAUAGAACUGUUCUUCCUUCCUAAUGCAUAAUCUUUGAAGUCUGCACUACAAGGAGAAACCUCAUCUUUGGUAAAUUUGUCUUUGGAAUUUGGAUUGACUGUGAAGGAGUGACUUCUGGUGCUUCAGGCAGUUUGUAAGAGAGGAAAACGUGCAGCAGAGUUUGUAAAAUCUCAGCAUUUGCGAGGUAGUGCAGGGCCUGAGUUUAAGAACGAAAGAAAAGACUUAAGAGAAAGGAGGCUUCCCUGUGAUGGAACCACAGACCAAGACCACUGUGACUUCUAAGUUCAGUGCUGCAAGCCUUUAUCUAAAUUUGCAUAAGCAGCUCCUGCAAAACAUCCAGCAUCUCAUUUGCUUUCUGCACCCACGCUGUUGAGUUGUUUUUAUUAUGCGUUUAAUGACCACUGUACUCCCGUGGCCUUGAUUGCUAAAAUUUAUGUCUAUUUACAGUGCCAUUAUUAGCAUCCAAGUACAUGUUAUUUUGUUGUUUUUAACAUCCUGGAAUCAUAUAGCUGAAAGUUUUCAAUUAACACACUUGGUUGCACAGUAUGCAGUAUUGGACAGGAUAAUGAAACUCAAUCUUUCUGACUUUAUUGACCUAAUUGUAUCAUCUGUAUCACUUUAUUGGUUUGUUAAAAUAAUCCUUCCCUCCCAACCUAUUGAAAUGAUACUGCCUAAUGCACAGAAUGAUUUACCUUUACUUUAGUGUCACCACAAGUGAAAUAGUUUUGGGCCUUUUUAACAAACUGCUGGCAUUAUGGAAAUCAUUUUCCUUAUUAAGUUCCAUUCUUUACAACUCAUUAACUUCUGGUGACAGUAUGUUCAGGGGGACCCAUCCCUAAUACAUGGUACCUCCAUGGUCACUUCAAAGCCACACCUGAGGCAGUUUUUUCUUCUUCAUUAUAUAGCUCCACUUCAGUUCCCUAAUCACAGACUACUUUUAAUUCAAACCUGUAGCAACCGGACUCUCUCUCCAGCUCAUAUCCAUCAUUGAGGGGUAAUCAUAAGGAAAAUUUUGGCAUUAAAGAAAAUUCAUUCAUUCUUACAAUUGAAAACCAACUGUUAAGCUACACACAAGUUGAGGUUAAUGUUUCCUUCACCAAAAUGCUUUACACCAGGGUAGGAGGGCUCAGACAUACUGCAUGCAGGGGUUUCCCUUUCUGUAGGGGAAGUGCCACCUUUUUACCACUUACACAUUUGCGUGAGGCACCAAUGUCUUUGUACUCGUAUUUGAAAUCCUGGAGUGCUGUGUUAGAGAUACAGCUAUUGUGCAAGAAACACAUUCUGUAAUAACAGCUCCAGUACUUCUGCAGGCGUCUGUGAAUAGGUGUCAUACUCGUGUCUGAUUCUUCCAUUACUGCUCUGUUGUUCUCUCUGAACCAUGUCAGAGGCUUUAGGAGCUGUGUUGUCAGAAAUCCAGGUGUGAUGGCGACCACAACUUCCACAGUCGUGAGCCACCCCGGCCCCUUGGCUCAGCCACCCACACACAGCGAUGCUGGAGUUGCUUCUCUUGUGCCCGGCGUUUGGGUUGGCCCCCAAGCAGAGCUUGCAGGCACACACGUAGUGCAGGAGGAGGCUUCUCUCAGCUGAACUUCGUGUGUGCCCACGUUUCUGAGCACAUUCCGAAGUGUUUGCAUCAAGAUCUGCUUAGUACUCAGAUAGGAAUCUUGUUUGCGUAAUAAUUAUCUGUACUUGAUGUAAUUGCUGAAGUUUUGAAAACAGAAAUUUCUGAAUAUUUGUUUUGGUUAUUUCACCAUGAGCACAAUAAUAUCACCCUGCUGUGUUUUAAAUUUGUCUCCCUGUAAGAUGUAUUUUUAUAAUGGAAAUAAAGCGAGGUCUGUUUUUAUGCACAUUUCCACCUGCUUGUGCUCUAAAGGUGGGAGCAGCACUUAAAUAAGACAAGCUCUGUGGUUACAGGGAGCAGAUGGGAAAAAGUCAAUACAAUUUCUGGUAUUGUCCGGUGUGACAAAUGAUAUUUGGAGUUAAUGUAGCACACUUGGUGUAAAAUGACUUUUUGAAGCAGUUAAUAGAAGAGAAAUCUGUUUACAAAAAUCAAUAUUUGUACAGAAGCCCUUUGCUGCUUUCUAAAGGUGAAAGUUUCAGCCUGGAUGCAUUGUUUCUGCUGUGUUGGUGUGGCUGUCGGAACCUGAGUGAGACCAAGACAAAUAAAGGCAGUUUGGCC